CCUACGGGAGGCUGCAGUGGGGAAUAUUGCACAAUGGGCGCAAGCCUGAUGCAGCCAUGCCGCGUGUGUGAAGAAGGCCUUCGGGUUGUAAAGCACUUUCAGCGGGGAGGAAGGCGGUGAGGUUAAUAACCUCAUCGAUUGACGUUACCCGCAGAAGAAGCACCGGCUAACUCCGUGCCAGCAGCCGCGGUAAUACGGAGUGUGCAAGCGUUAAUCGGAAUUACUGGGCGUAAAGCGCACGCAGGCGGUCUGUCAAGUCGGAUGUGAAAUCCCCGGGCUCAACCUGGGAACUGCAUUCGAAACUGGCAGGCUAGAGUCUUGUAGAGGGGGGUAGAAUUCCAGGUGUAGCGGUGAAAUGCGCAGAGAUCUGGAGGAAUACCGGUGGCGAAGGCGGCCCCCUGGAUAAAGACUGACGCUCAGGUGCGAAAGCGUGGGGAGCAAACAGGAUUAGAUACCCUAGUAGUC
rnacentral:rRNA from 1 species